rnacentral:rRNA from 1 species
GACGGCGGGUGCAAGCGGUAUUCGGAAUCAUUGGGCGUAAAGAGCGUGUAGGCGACCGGUUAAGUCAGGUGUGAAAGCCCGGGGCUCAACCUCGGAAGUGCACUUGAAACUGGUCGGCUUGAGUUCGGGAGAGGGAAGCGGAAUUCCUGGUGUAGAGGUGAAAUUCGUAGAUAUCAGGAGGAACACCGGUGGCGAAGGCGGCUUCCUGGACCGAAACUGACGCUGAGACGCGAAAGCGUGGGGAGCAAACAGG